rnacentral:lncRNA from 1 species
AUGCGAGCUAAUGGAUCCUUGGCUCUAACGCGGUUGCUGCUUGCCGGAUGCCGCACGCGAGGAUUCCGUUGCAACCUGGCUCCCCGGCCAGGCAAGUGGGUUCACCCUGCAGAUCUCUCGGAAGCUGCAGCGGCCUCAGCCAUCGGAGGCGCAACUGAAAGAAUCUCAGUUUGGGUUACAUCUAUUUAUGGUCCACUCAGCUAUGAUGGAGGAAAGAAAUACACAGGACUGUCCUUUCCAGAGGGUGAAGAGGCUCAAGAAAGGAAUGUGGUUGGAGGGUGAUUACUGGCAGCUCUACAUAGUACGCAGGUGUUCUGCUUCCGAAGAGUUCAAAAAGCAUGUAUCUCCAGAGUACCAAGGAGACGUGAGGCCAUUCCCCAGGUAAUUUGGAUUCUGAGGGGGAAAAAAAAUCCAGAAAAUUUGGGCUCAAAGAAAAUGUUGGAGCUUGUUUUGUUGUUUACAUAACCUGCCUUUCCUAGAGGCCCUUUGCCUGAGCUCUGGCUCG